rnacentral:lncRNA from 1 species
GAGUAUUCAUGGUUAGAGUCUCAGUCUCUAUUACGGGCCCUAGUACACUUCAGGAACUCAAAAGCUUUGCUGAUAUAAUGCAAGGUGAUAAAAAAGUAGAAAGACUUGGGAUAAUCUUGAUUUCUGAAGGCAUCAAACGGGAAUUAGAGAAAGCAGCAGGAAAAACGAAGGCCUUUUUAAGUUCCAUGAGAACUACGGUUUGCAAGACUGGUCAAAACAGUACAAUGCAAGCGGCAAGAAUCAGGAAGUGCACAGAAACAAGAAGCUCGGUGCACACUGGGAUCAGGCAAGCAUCUGGGAGAAGACUGUAGCAAGACUGGAUCCUGAGAAAUAUACAGAGUUCAGAGGCUCCAUGGCUACACUUUGGGCAUGUAUGUCAUUACAGGAAUGAAAAAAAGAUGAUGGCCAAAUGCUGUAUUAAAAUCCCAUUAGAAAUGCCGGGAGAAAUUUAUGGCCCCAAUCUCUUUUAUCUGACAGCAGUUCCCAUGUGAUCCAUCAGGCUCUGAACAUGAAUUUUAAUGGGCUCAGAACCACUUCUCUACCCUGAGGUCACAGGCUGUCAGAGUGAAUCUUCCACAAACUGAUUGGAACCUGAAGAAUUUGCUCUGUCAAGAGAGAGAUUAUUACAUCGCAAGACAAUGCAUCGCUCCAGCAAGGAUAACAAAGCGAAUGGGAAGGAAAGGGUUAUGAAGAGUUCAUGGAAGGCACCUUAGGCAGACUACUUUUAGGAAAGAGUGGAUGUGGAAGCUAAGUAUCUGGAAAUUGAUUUCCUUAGAACAGUUUGUGUUUGCAUGUCUUCUGAAAGGUUUUAUGUACUCCCAAGAGUAAGUAUACCUGUUUGAAGAAGCUGCUCAAUAUAGUUCUUAAAAUAGUCUACAAACAUGUUACCCCAGCAUAGUAAGAAAUAGGAGUACAGCCAGAAAUGAGAGUGGGAAUGAUUAGAGAGACCUCUUUGAGGCCUUGGUCGUGGGCAGGAGCACAGUGGGCCGGGCUCUUUCUAGAUGUGCUUUAAUCAUCAGGAAUUCUGAUACAAUUAUAUUUUGACUAUGAUAUAUAAGCUUCAUUUGAUUACUGUUGCCAAAUAUUUUUUGCUCUUCACGAAGUAAACCUCUUUUUAAAACUUUUUAACUGGCAAAUAAUAAUUGCAUCUAUUUAGGGAGUACAUUGUGAUGUUUUGAUACAUGAUUACAUUGUGGAAUGAUUUAAUCAAUCUACUUAAAUUUAGUGAAAAUAACUUAAGCUAUUAAUCUCAGCCUUGGUGGCUUCUCCUAAUUUAUGCUUACACAAGAGGCUAUCUUCAUUGUGAAAUGUCACAGACUCUCACAAGCAAGAGAAGAAAAUGUAGAGAAGCCCCUCAAAUAAAAUGCAUUAGGUUAAUUCAUACCGACAAAUGUGACACACUUAAAAUUGUUCCUAACAUCAGUUCAUGAUUUAUUUCAAAAGUUCUUAAUAUUCAAAAAUGCUCAAUAAUUUAAAGUAUUUCAAUGUAUAUAGCAAAUAAACCCUGCUAUUAAAACAAAAGAAUCAGGUUCAUUUCAGAAGAGUGAAAACUAGCAAGAUCUUACUGUAAAUCAACUGUUUGUUUUCAAUUAUUUGGCAUGAGAUCUUACAUAUUUUUAACCCAUGUUUUAAUUCUCGUAGAUACCCUGUUGCAAAAGUUCUGAAACAUUGUGAGAAAAAGUGUUUUUGUAGCACUUUGGCAAUGGGAGCCUCACUUCACUCUGUUAUGUAAUGUCCCAUCCAGUUUUUAGUUAAACCUGGAAACACCUUUGUCCUUAGGUGAAGCAGCAAGUCUUGCUUAAGCAAAGCUGGUGAAAUCAGAGCCUGGUCCAAGGCUCAGAAGCGUUUGCGGGGAAAAGCAAACACUUUUUGUGGGAGAAGGAAACAAAGGAGAAGAGAGGAGGAGGAAGAAAUUGAAAAAGAAGGGGAAGAGAAGAGGAAAAGAAAAAGAGACGUUGAGAGAAAGAAAAACAGAGAGCUGUGUGUGAUUGGAUGCCAUGACUCCUCAGUCUUAGUGCUAAUGCCGUUGUUACCUAACUCUAUUUAGGGAACUUUCCAGAACAAAGCGAAGCUUUGUGGGCCUGGCUUUCAGAACUUAUGCAACAAUUGUUUUGGGAGCAGACUGAAAAUUUUACAAGAGAACUGAGUUUUCAAGAGACUGACGGUGUGACCAAAAGAUCAAAGGUUUGGUGCAGUGGGACUAAGUUUCAGGCAGCCUUUCAAAUUGUGAAGACUUUCCUCCCUGUUAUGGCAGUUAAGACAUGUGAAAAUGGUAGUUCGAGACACUUAUAAGCAACUUUCUUCUUAGUUCACAAUGUUCCAUGAAUGUCAGUGCCCUCCAAACUCACGAGAACAAAGCAGGCAACCAGGAUGAUUACUCCCAAAUCAUUGAUAAAAGGAGAGAGAAGUACAGAGAUACACAGUGAUUUGUGUGGGUUGCCAAAAAGUUGCACGGUCAGUUUGACAACUGUUAUUGCCUUCAGGUUGACAAAUUGCAAAAGCAGCAUUGCUGUGUAUGGGUGGGGAGGGAGGAGGAAUUGCAUGAGUAAGAAUGAGAUGAGCAAUAGUUAGGUGGGGUGGAAAUGAAAUCUCAACAGUUAUUGGGGAUUCUGAUGUAUUUAUCAAACCAAAAGACGAUCUAAAAGCCAUACAAUCAGACUUAGAUUAGGGCAGUCUGUGAUAAGCAAAAGUUAAUAUAGUGUGUUGUUUUUGAAAAUAUGGCAUGAUAAUUAAUAGCAACUCUUUUUGUAUACUUGCUUGGUUAACAGGAGGAAACACAGAUAAAUUAAAUACUGGUUAGCAAUCUUUAAUAACCAGGAGAUGCUUAACAUUUAUUUAGAAAUCUGCAACAUUUUAUAAAUCAUUGUUUUGGCUUCUGGGACAAACUCAGAAUCUGGAACCCACGGAAACCCUUCAGUUACACAAAGGCUUUCCAGUUCAUUGCUACUGCACUGAAGAACAGUCUUCACAACUAUACCUGGAACUUACUAGGCCAAGAAGGCAAGGCGUUGGUAUGUGUUUUUAUUGUAGUUAAACUUAUCUGGAUUUAAAAGGCAUUAACUAUCUUCUGAUUUCUUCCUUUUUCUUCAAUUGUACAAGAGUGUUUCAAUUGAAUAUUGCAACUGAAGACAUUCACUCUGCGUUGAUCACCUAUGGAGUGAUCAAAUUUCAACCCUUUGAAGUUUCCUAAAUGAAAGAGGCACUCUGAAUUCAAAGGCUGUUUGAAUGAACUGACUGCUUCAGCACUGUCUUGUAGAUAUAGUCCAUUCAAAUAAAAGACAAAUAUCUGACUGAAUUUUGUUAGCACGUUAAGACAUGUAUUAUAAAAAGGUUUAAGAAGAAAAUAAUGGCCACAAUUCUUCAGAAAACAUGUGAACUAAUGUGACAAAACACUGUGGUGUUGCAAACUCAAGUGCUGCUCUGGCCAAGUCACCUCGCUGAAAUCUCCACUUCCACUUGUGCAACCUACCAAGCCACUCUCUACACAGCUGCCAGAGUGAUUACAAAAACAACGCGGGAUUAUGCUACCCCUGCUUAUCUAAAAUUUGUCAAAAUGCCCGUUACACUUUGAAUAAAAUACAGAUUCCUCUCAGAUCUCAUUUCUUAUCAUGUCUUUCUCAAUCAUUAUGUUCCAGCCUCACUGACCUUCUUUCUGUUCCUGUAAAAUAUUCCUGCCUCAAGGGCGCAGGCCUACGACCUGCAGUUCUCUUUUUCCCACAUGUGACCAGGCUCUCUCUUAGCCAUCAGGUCUCAAAUAAGCUCUUUCCGUUCUGUCUAGGCAUCUUAUCAAAAUCAACCUGUGUAUUAUUAUUCAUUUAUCACAUAAUCUUGUUUUAUUUUCCUCAUAGCACUCUCACUUUCUGAAAUUAUCU